ACGAACGCUGGCGGCGCGCCUAACCCAUGCAAGUCGAACGAGCGAGAGAGAGCUUGCUUUCUUGAGCGAGUGGCGAACGGGUGAGUAACGCGUGAGGAACCUGCCUCAAAGAGGGGGACAACAGUUGGAAACGACUGCUAAUACCGCAUAAGCCCACGGUGCCGCAUGGCACAGAGGGAAAAGGAGUAAUCCGCUUUGAGAUGGCCUCGCGUCCGAUUAGCUAGUUGGUGAGGUAACGGCCCACCAAGGCGACGAUCGGUAGCCGGACUGAGAGGUUGAACGGUCACAUUGGGACUGAGACACGGCCCAGACUCCUACGGGAGGCAGCAGUGGGGAAUAUUGCACAAUGGGGGAAACCCUGAUGCAGCGACGCCGCGUGGAGGAAGAAGGUCUUCGGAUUGUAAACUCCUGUUGUUGGGGAAGAUAAUGACGGUACCCAACAAGGAAGUGACGGCUAACUACGUG
rnacentral:rRNA from 1 species